rnacentral:rRNA from 1 species
UACGGGGGGAGCAAGCGUUGUUCGGAUUUACUGGGCGUAAAGGGCGCGUAGGCGGCCAGCACAAGUCAGUUGUGAAAUCUCCGAGCUUAACUCGGAAAGGUCAACUGAUACUGUGCGGCUAGAGUGCGGAAGGGGCAACUGGAAUUCUUGGUGUAGCGGUGAAAUGCGUAGAUAUCAAGAGGAACACCUGCGGCGAAGGCGGGUUGCUGGGCCGACACUGACGCUGAGGCGCGAAAGCCAGGGAGCGAACGGG